AGAGUUUGAUUAUGGCUCAGGAUGAACGCUGGCGGCGUGCCUAAUACAUGCAAGUCGAGCGAGGUAGCUUGCUACCUAGCGGCGAACGGGUGAGUAACACGUAGGUAACCUGCCUUUGAGACUGGGAUACCCGGACGAAAGUUCGGCUAAUACCGGAUAACAACGGAGAUGGCAUCUUCUCCGCUUGAAAGGUGCGUUUGCACCACUCUUAGAUGGACCUGCGGCACAUUAGCUAGUUGGUGAGAUAACAGCCCACCAAGGCGAGGAUGUGUAGCCGACCUGAGAGGGUGACCGGCCACAAUGGGACUGAGACACGGCCCAUACUCCUACGGGAGGCAGCAGUAGGGAGUUUUCGGCAAUGGGCGAAAGCCUGACCGAGCAACGCCGCGUGAGUGAUGAAGGUCUUCGGAUUGUAAAGCUCUGUUACGAGGGACGAAACGUACGAUCAGGAAAUGGGUCGUAUUUGACUAUACCUCGCCAGAAAGUGACGGCUAACUACGUGCCAGCCGCUGC
rnacentral:rRNA from 1 species